rnacentral:rRNA from 1 species
AGAGUUUGAUCAUGGCUCAGGAUGAACGCUGGCGGAGUGCCUAACACAUGCAAGUCGAGCGGCAGCGCGAGUAGUUUACUACUUGGCGGCGAGCGGCGGACGGCUGAGUAACGCGUGGGAACAUGCCCAAAGUGAGGAAUAACUGCCCGAAAGGGUAGCUAAUGCCGCAUACGAUCUUCGGAUUAAAGGAUUUAUCCGCUUUGGGAGUGGCCUGCGUACGAUUAGAUAGUUGGCGAGGUAAUGGCUCACCAAGUCUACGAUCGUUAACUGGUUUGAGAGGAUGAUCAGUCAGACUGGAACUGAGACACGGUCCAGACUCCUACGGGAGGCAGCAGUGAGGAAUCUUCCACAAUGGACGAAAGUCUGAUGGAGCAACUCCGCGUGCAGGAUGAAGGCCUUCGGGUCGUAAACUGCUUUUAUGAGUGAAGAAUAUGACGGUAACUCAUGAAUAAGGGUCGGCUAACUACGUG